CCUACGGGCGUCAGCAGUGGGGAAUAUUGCACAAUGGGGGAAACCCUGAUGCAGCGACGCCGCGUGAAGGAAGAAGUAUUUCGGUAUGUAAACUUCUAUCAGCAGGGAAGAAAAUGACGGUACCUGACUAAGAAGCCCCGGCUAACUACGUGCCAGCCGCCGCGGUAAUACGUAGGGGGCAAGCGUUAUCCGGAUUUACUGGGUGUAAAGGGAGCGUAGGCGGUUUAGCAAGGCAGAAGUGAAAGCCCGGGGCUCAACUCCGGGACUGCUUUUGAAACUGUUGAACUAGAGUGCAGGAGAGGUAAGUGGAAUUCCUAGUGUAGCGGUGAAAUGCGUAGAUAUUAGGAGGAACACCAGUGGCGAAGGCGGCUUACUGGACUGUAAAUGACGCUGAGGCUCGAAAGCGUGGGGAGCAAACAGGAUUAGAUACCCUUGUAGUC
rnacentral:rRNA from 1 species